rnacentral:rRNA from 1 species
UACGUAGGGGGCGAGCGUUGUCCGGAAUUACUGGGCGUAAAGGGCUCGUAGGCGGCCAACUAAGUCAGACGUGAAAUCCCUCAGCUUAACUGGGGAACUGCGUCUGAUACUGGAUGGCUUGGAUUUGGGAGAGGGAUGCGGAAUUCCAGGUGUAGCGGUGAAAUGCGUAGAUAUCUGGAGGAACACCGGUGGCGAAGGCGGCAUCCUGGACCAAUAUUGACGCUGAGGAGCGAAAGCCAGGGGAGCAAACGGG